AGUGGCUCGUCUCCGAAGCGGCGCUAGCGAGCGGCUGUCACCCCCGCGGCUCUGCCGUCGAUAGCGAGGGGGCACUGGGCAGCCGUGGCGACGCUUCCCGAGGGUUUCGGCUCGUUCGUUCGGCUCUCCCGCGGGGCGAGGGCGAGAGCGAGAGACGACAGACCGGCGGCGGAGGCCGGCACUCGAACGCUGGAAGACCGUGGCGGCGGGAACUCGAUCCCAGGUCCGAAUUAUCUUCCCCGCCCGGUUCUCGGUGAGAUUUGCGGAAGAGGGCUCCGAUGAUGGGCAGGGUGGCGGCGGCGGCGAGCCCCGCCGGUUACGUGCGCACGUCCCGGCGCAGAAAUUUAAGCAAGCCCGGGUCCGGCUCGCCGCUUUGCCGCGCUUGCCUUAGGGGCCCCGGUGGCUUGGCCGAGGUGGCGGCACCUCAUUUUCUGUCUCCCUCUCCCUCCUUCGUCUCCAUUCCUUUUACCUUUCCGUUUACCCUCUCUCGCCGUUCUUUUUACCGGCGUUAAAGCUGGAGCCCGCCAAGCGGGGAAAGCGAAAGAGGACGGUGGCUGGCCGGAGGGAAAGAAAGGAGUCGGGCUCGCGGGAGCUCUCCCUCGGCCUUCUUCGGCACCCGGCCCCGACUAAAAAGCAGUCCCCACGGGGUGGGCUCGGGCUGCGUGGUGUGUGUGCGUGUCUCAGGGAAGCACCCCACCGUUUUGGGCUGCCGUGGGAGCCCCCUUUACUUUUGCUACUUUGUUUUCUCUCUCGUCUUUUCCUCUCUUCCCCCCUUCCCCGACCGAUCGAUGAGGCCUUUCGGGUCGCGUCGGAGAGGGCCCCCGGCGGGCCGGGCUCGUCUGCGCUCCUCGUCCUCGGACGGGCCGCGGGCGGUGUCCGGUGUUCAGGCUGGGCGGUCUCCUUUCCAGCUCGCUUCCCGUUGCCUGCGAGGUGUCGUUCUCCUUCUUCUCCCCACCGUCACCGCGAGCGAGCGAGCGAGGAGCCGCGGCCGCGUCGGCGGGUUCGAGGUGCGUGCCUCACCGCGUCGGCCGCCGGCGUCCUUCCCGCUCUCGCUGUGCUCGACGGCGGGCGCGGGGGAAGUUGCCCAGGGACUCGGUCCGAACCGGGCUGUGUGACGGCCGCGUGGCCCCGCGAGCCCUCAGGUGUCCUAAACCACGCGAGGUGUUGCCGGUGCUGGCCUCGGUCCGUGUGCCCGCGGGUGCCGGCCGCGAGCAGCGCUCGGGCGGUGGGGCGGCCGAGCCGCGAGAGAACGGGC
rnacentral:lncRNA from 14 species